GUAACUGUCCAUUGUUAAAAAGUACUCCAAGUCAAUUUGAAAUCCUCCAUGAAUUAAUAAUUGAAGGAGUUGACAGUGAAAUGCCAUUGUUGAACUUGUGCAGCAACUUGAUAUCUCUUGUGAAGCUUGAUGUUGAUAAUGUGAAAGAGCUCACUUGUCUUUCAGAUGUUAUGCUACGCAACAAUGUUUCUCUUCAAUACAUAUCGGUCGUCGACUGUGGAGAGUUUCGUGAAUUUCCACAAAGCCUGUACAAUCUCCAUUCUCUUGAGAGCUUACGAAUACAACACUGCCCCAAUUUCAGUUCUUUUAUUGUUCCCUGUGGAGAGAACUACUUGACUUCCCUCCAAAAUUUUGAGUUACAAGGGUGUAAUGGAUUGACCAGUUUACCAAGUGGAAUGCUAGAGCAAUGCCG
rnacentral:misc_RNA from 1 species